rnacentral:SRP_RNA from 1 species
UGCCGGUCCCCGCGCAAUGAUACGCUGUAAACCCCGCCAGGCCCGGAAGGGAGCAACGGUAGCAGCGGACGCAUGUGCCGUGGUGUGGCUGGCAGGG